UACGUAGGGUGCAAGCGUUAAUCGGAAUUACUGGGCGUAAAGGGCGCGUAGGCGGUCUGUUAAGAUUGUUGUGAAAUCCCUGGGCUUAACCUAGGAACUGCAACGAUGACUGAUGGGCUUGAGUAUUGUAGAGGGUAGUGGAAUUUCCGGUGUAGCGGUGAAAUGCGUAGAGAUCGGAAGGAACACCAGUGGCGAAGGCGGCUACCUGGACAAAUACUGACGCUGAGGCGCGAGAGCGUGGGGAGCAAACAGG
rnacentral:rRNA from 1 species